rnacentral:misc_RNA from 1 species
UAAUAAGUGUUUUAUGGCACUUUUUAAAUCCAUAUCCACCCUGUGUGCAAUGUCGGUCGAUCUUCUUUUUUUGAGGAUCGACCAAACAUCAACCUUUAUUUUUUAACCCUUUGUCUGAAAAAUAUUAUGAAUAAACAAUUCAAAAUA